GGUACAUAGCGAAGGCUGGCUA
rnacentral:siRNA from 1 species